AAAUCAACGCUGGCGGCGUGCCUAAUACAUGCAAGUCGAACGCGAAAGUCCCGCAAGGGGCGAGUAGAGUGGCAAACGGGUGAGUAACGCGUGGGCGACCUACCUUCGAGUGGGGGAUAACCUUCCGAAAGGAGGGCUAAUACCGCAUGACAUCCCGUGUUUGGAUACACGGACAUCAAAGCUGGGGAUCGCAAGACCUGGCGCUUGAAGAGGGGCCUGCGUCCGAUUAGCUAGUUGGUGGGGUAACGGCCCACCAAGGCUUCGAUCGGUAUCCGGCCUGAGAGGGCGGACGGACACACUGGAACUGAGACACGGUCCAGACUCCUACGGGAGGCAGCAGUAGGGAAUUGUUCGCAAUGGGCGCAAGCCUGACGACGCAACGCCGCGUGGAGGAUGAAGACUUUCGGGUCGUAAACUCCUUUCGACCGAGAUGAAUAUUCACCGGCUUAAUACACCGGUGAACUGACAGUAUCGAG
rnacentral:rRNA from 1 species